rnacentral:rRNA from 1 species
ACUCCUACGGGAGGCAGCAGUGGGGAAUAUUGCACAAUGGGCGCAAGCCUGAUGCAGCCAUGCCGCGUGUGUUAGAAGCAUGGCUUGUAANCUUUCAGUUGUGAGGAAGGUGGUGUCGUUAAUAGCGGCAUCAUUUGACGUUAGCAACAGAAGAAGCACCGGCUAACUCCGUGCCAGCAGCCGCGGUAAUACGGAGGGUGCGAGCGUUAAUCGGAAUUACUGGGCGUAAAGCGCAUGCAGGUGGUUUGUUAAGUCAGAUGUGAAAGCCCGGGGCUCAACCUCGGAACUGCAUUUGAAACUGGCAGACUAGAGUACUGUAGAGGGGGUAGAAUUUCAGGUGUAGCGGUGAAAUGCGUAGAGAUCUGAAGGAAUACCGGUGGCGAAGGCGGCCCCCUGGACAGAUACUGACACUCAGAUGCGAAAGCGUGGGGAGCAAACAGGAUUAGAUACCCUGGUAGGAUAG